ensembl:lncRNA
UGUAAACUCCUUGCUGAUAGGAUAAGAGAUGUCACAAUGUUGACUUAUACUCUUCUUGUACUUAAACACAAAUAUGGAUUUAAUUCACCUCACGGGGUACAACAAAAAAUCCCCUUCAGUUUGAUGUCAGAAAUGAGAUUGCUGCUCACUGACAGAAGUGACUGCACUGGAAUUGGAGGGGAGACCCAAGAUGACACCAUCAUGAGAGUGAAUUUCACUUCAGAGUGACCCAAUCAGCUGGGCCCAGUGGCUAGAUUUCUAACAGUAUCUGCUGAAGAUUGAGUUAUAAGCUCAGGG